rnacentral:rRNA from 1 species
UACGUAGGGUGCGAGCGUUACUCGGAAUUACUGGGCGUAAAGCGUGCGCAGGCGGUUUUUUAAGCCCGAUGUGAAAUCCCCGGGCUCAACCUGGGAAUGGCAUUUGGGACUGCAAGGCUCGAGUGCGGCAGAGGAGACUGGAAUUCCUGGUGUAGCAGUGAAAUGCGUAGAUAUCAGGAGGAAUACCGAUGGCGAAGGCAGGUCUCUGGGCUGACACUGACGCUCAUGCACGAAAGCGUGGGGAGCAAACAGG